rnacentral:rRNA from 1 species
AUGAGAGUAUUAUGCUGGAACUGUCGUGGGAUUGGCGACCCUGCGACAGUCCAUGAGCUCCGCGCUCUCGUGGGAGCUAGUGCGUCGUCGGUUCUUUGUAUUAUGGAAACUCAAAUAGCAAAGAAUCGAGUGGAAGGUUUGGUGGUCUCUUUAGGUUUUCAAAACAGCUUUGCAGUAGCUAGUAGUGGCCGUAGUGGCGGUCUCUGUAUCUUUUGGAAGACAGAUGUU